CUUCCGCGAUUUCUGCUACUUCUGUGAUUUCUGUGACUUCUGCUACUUCUGCGAUUUCUGCUACUUCUGCGAUUUCUGUGACUUCUGCUACUUCUGCGAUUUCUGUGAUUCCUGCGAUUUCUGCGACUUACCACCGUAUGAGAAAGUUACAUCUGUCAACACAGAAAAUUGCAUCUCAACAAACCUGUCUUUGGCAAGUACCUGAACUACAUUUCAGUCACUCAGUAAAGUGAUAACUCAAAAUAUCAUUGUCAACAGAUCUGAAGAAAUUGCCACUGCGUCUUUAGACCGUUUUCGUCAGACGAGAGACACAGUUCUGACUCUGAUUACUGGUUGCUGUACGUAUCUAUCCACAUCAAGGCUGUUUUUGAGAGAGACUCGUGAAGAUUCAAGACAGUUCUUAGAGGAUUUGCAGUUUAAAAGUGAAAUAAGUGUGUGAAUGAUUAAACUGUGUUUUAUUGAAGUUGU